AAUGGACUUAUCACUAACUAUGAGGUUUUGAAGGCUACGCUGCUGCGACAUGGCUUCACCUUUGAAUCUGAAACGGAUACAGAAGUCAUCCCCAAGCUUGCAAAGUUUGUUUAUGACAAAGCAAACGAAGCUGCAGGGUGAACUUGAUUGAGGUUCUGCUAUUGCUGGUUCCUUUUCUGAUAUGCUGCUGGGUUAAUGAAUUACUUUGGUCCAAUUAGAGCUGUUUUUCUGUCAGAACUGGUUGUAUUCUUGCUGAGAUGUGCUGGAGUUGAAGGGUGCUGAUUGCCACGUGAUAUGAUGCUCUGAUGCAUGACCUUGUGCAGAUUGCAGAUGCUUCCUUCUAUCUUGUUAUUUAGAUUUUUGUUCCAUCAUGAACAUUGAGGUGAGGUAUAGUACCUAAGAUGCAAGGAACGUGAUGCGAGAUUUCUAGAGAGAAGUGAGAGUGUAACCGCUUAGAGAGAGAAAGUAACACAAUUUCAAGCUUGUUAUUGCACAAAUGAGGUAAGAGUCCUUUACAAUUGGUAUCCCCCCUAUUUAUAGUUGGGGGAGUUGGGCCUAGCGCCUCUAAAUCAUCCUAAUGGGCCAGUUGGGCCUUCGGGACAGGGGCCCAAGUCCCUAAUGUAAUUCCCGCCUUAAGCCAGCGCCCCUGGGCGAGGGACCCGGGGGUCUCGCCUAGUCCAAUUUUCUUCUAGUCUUAGUUUUAGUUUAAUCUUUGGCUAUGUUGUUUAUCUGUUUCCGUUUGUUUAGUGUCUUUCCAUCUUCUUGUUGUUCUAGCUGUUUUGUUUCAGAUUUCUGUAGUUGUAUUUGCUGUGUUCUGUCUUAUCCGGGAGGGAUUGUUCCCAGUAACAUUUGAUUAUGAUGAAAUAAAGAUCUCUUUUUUUGUAAAACAAAAAAUUGUAACUAUGAUCAUUCUAUGUAUCUACUGCUUCUUAAAUGCUCUUUUAAGCACUUAUGAAAAGGAGCUUGAAGAGAUG